rnacentral:rRNA from 1 species
GACGAACGCUGGCGGCAUGCCUAAUACAUGCAAGUCGUGCGGACCUUGUUGAAAGCUUGCUUUUAAAAGGUUAGCGGCGGACGGGUGAGUAACACGUGGGCAACCUGCCUGUAAGACUGGGAUAACGCCGGGAAACCGGGGCUAAUACCAGAUCGUUUUUUCCUCCGCAUGGAGGAAAAAGGAAAGGCGGCUUCGGCUGCCACUUACAGAUGGGCCCGCGGCGCAUUAGCUAGUUGGCGGGGUAAUGGCCCACCAAGGCAACGAUGCGUAGCCGACCUGAGAGGGUGAUCGGCCACAUUGGGACUGAGACACGGCCCAAACUCCUACGGGAGGCAGCAGUAGGGAAUCUUCCGCAAUGGACGAAAGUCUGACGGAGCAACGCCGCGUGAGUGAAGAAGGCCUUCGGGUCGUAAAACUCUGUUGCCGGGGAAGAACAAGUGCCGUUCGAACAGGGCGGCGCCUUGACGGUACCCGGCCAGAAAGCCACGGCUAACUACGUG